UGGGGAAUCUUCCGCAAUGGACGAAAGUCUGACGGAGCAACGCCGCGUGAGUGAUGACGGCCUUCGGGUUGUAAAGCUCUGUUAAUCGAGACGAAUGGUUCUUGUGCGAAUAGUGCGAGGAUUUGACGGUACCGGAAUAGAAAGCCACGGCUAACUACGUGCCAGCAGCCGCGGUAAUACGUAGGUGGCAAGCGUUGUCCGGAAUUAUUGGGCGUAAAGCGCGCGCAGGCGGAUUGGUCAGUCUGUCUUAAAAGUUCGGGGCUUAACCCCGUGAUGGGAUGGAAACUGCCAAUCUAGAGUAUCGGAGAGGAAAGUGGAAUUCCUAGUGUAGCGGUGAAAUGCGUAGAUAUUAGGAAGAACACCAGUGGCGAAGGCGACUUUCUGGACGAAAACUGACGCUGAGGCGCGAAAGCCAGGGGAGCGAACGGGAUUAGAUACCCCGGUAGUCCUGGCCGUAAACGAUGGGUACUAGGUGUAGGAGGUAUCGACCCCUUCUGUGCCGGAGUUAACGCAAUAAGUACCCCGCCUGGGGAGUACGACCGCAAGGUUG
rnacentral:rRNA from 1 species